rnacentral:rRNA from 1 species
UCAGUCGACUCCUACGGGGAGGCAGCAGUGGGGAAUAUUGCACAAUGGGGGAAACCCUGAUGCAGCCAUGCCGCGUGUGUGAAGAAGGCCUUCGGGUUGUAAAGCACUUUCAGUAGGGAGGAAGGUAGUGUAGUUAACACCUGCAUUAUUUGACGUUACCUACAGAAGAAGCACCGGCUAACUCCGUGCCAGCAGCCGCGGUAAUACGGAGGGUGCGAGCGUUAAUCGGAAUUACUGGGCGUAAAGCGCAUGCAGGCGGCCUGUUAAGUCAGAUGUGAAAGCCCGGGGCUUAACCUCGGAAUUGCAUUUGAAACUGGCAGGCUAGAGUCUUGUAGAGGGGGGUAGGAAUUUCAGGUGUAGCGGUGAAAUAGCGUAGAGAUCUGAAGGAAUACCAGUGGCGAAGGCGGCCCCCUGGACAAAGACUGACGCUCAGAUGCGAAAGCGUGGGGAGCAAACAGGAUUAGAUACCCUGGUAG